rnacentral:rRNA from 1 species
CAGUAGCCGCGGGAAAACGGAGGGUGCAAGCGUUAAUCGGAAUUACUGGGCGUAAAGCGCACGCAGGCGGUCUGUCAAGUCAGAUGUGAAAUCCCCGGGCUUAACCUGGGAACUGCAUUUGAAACUGGCAGGCUAGAGUCUUGUAGAGGGGGGUAGAAUUCCAGGUGUAGCGGUGAAAUGCGUAGAGAUCUGGAGGAAUACCGGUGGCGAAGGCGGCCCCCUGGACAAAGACUGACGCUCAGGUGCGAAAGCGUGGGGAGCAAACAGGAUUAGAUACCCCAGUAGUCCCUGUCUCUUAUAC